GAGUGUAUGUUGAUAACCACCCUGCAUACCAAAAGGGAUAAAUCACCCUCCGAAAGGCACUUUGUAGGGUGAACAACCGUGAUACCCAUGCAGUAAGAUCGCUUCAAACGGAAUUUUUUAAUAAAAAGACUUAGAAAAUGAACUCCGAAUUGGCUAUAUGCACGGUUACUUCCUGGUUUAGAUAAGCAAGCUCGGACAUUUCCGGUCAACUGUCAUUCCUGAAAAAAAUAUAUCAAAGAUGUUCUAUACUCGCUGCCUGCAGGAUCUACCUCGAGUCAACAUAAAUGAUGUACACCGCCUGAUUCAGUCAAAUUCAAAGACUUCAUCGAGCAAACAUGAAAAGGGUUUUAAGCUGUACAUAUCCAGCUAUAUCCAUGACUACGAAGUUUCUGAUAAAAAUGAGGCAGGAGAGGUGUCUGUGAGAGUAGAGGCAGGUUGUUCUCAAAGACUCUUAACCUGUUGAGCUGUUGGCCUGUCAUUGCUCAUGUGUGUCAGGGCUUGCACUAUGGAAUUAUGUUGCAGCUUUGCUCUUACAGACCUCACAUUACAGCCAGGAGGGAGUAACGUCUGUCCCCCCUACUCACAGCUGCACAGGGUCUGAGCUGCAGUGGCACAAACCUAGAACCCAGGGCUUUAAGCCUGGUCCUACAAAUGAGAUUGUGGUUUUGUCAGCUAUUCCCAAGGAGAGGAUUGGCUGAAUGGAUCAGGAGUAACUUGUACAAAGGGGCCUGUGACUGGACCUGUGACCUUCCAGACAUGUCAGUUCUGCGUGUGAAUGACAUUUACUGCUCCACCCACAACAACAAUGGGAAUAGCAUUUAUUGAAUUGUUUAUUCAAAGAAUAUUGAGAGAGUCAUAAAAACAAUCAAACAAAAGGUUGAUUACUUUUUCCCUACCUAUGCUUUUGGCUUGAAAAUUUCCAUGGUUAACUUUCAAUCCGUUUUUUACAAAGUUCAAAUAGUUUGGUUUUCAUUACAUUUCUGAGCAGUUUUCAUGUGUUCACUAUUGUCAUCUGCCACAAAUAUAUUGUAAUACAAUAUAAUUCUAGUAUACAAAUUAUGUUAUGUAGUUGAACAGGUCAUCAUUUAUUUAUUAAAAUUACAUAUUUUCCAAUAAAUGUUAUUCAUGUGAGUGUUUGAGGUUAUAACGUAUUAGUACCUAAAAAUAGUAUUGUUUAAAUGCUGUUUGUAAUGGUCACAAUGGGAGCCAAUUAAAAAAGGCAGUUACAAAGAAAUGUAGGUUUAUUCACUGGAAGCAUUAAACUAAAAUGAGGGGAAAAUACAGAUCCCUGUAUGAAGUUGUAGAGGUGUAAAUCCAUUCUUUAUCAUUAUCA